GAACGCUGGCGGCAUGCCUAACACAUGCAAGUCGAACGAGACCUUCGGGUCUAGUGGCGCACGGGUGCGUAACGCGUGGGAACCUGCCCUUAGGUUCGGAAUAACUCCCCGAAAGGGGUGCUAAUACCGGAUAAUGUCUUCGGACCAAAGAUUUAUCGCCUUUGGAUGGGCCCGCGUUGAAUUAGCUAGUUGGUAGGGUAAAAGCCUACCAAGGCGACGAUCCAUAGCUGGUCUGAGAGGAUGAUCAGCCACACUGGGACUGAGACACGGCCCAGACUCCUACGGGAGGCAGCAGUGGGGAAUAUUGGACAAUGGGCGAAAGCCUGAUCCAGCAAUGCCGCGUGAGUGAUGAAGGCCUUAGGGUUGUAAAGCUCUUUUACCCGGGAUGAUAAUGACAGUACCGGGAGAAUAAGCUCCGGCUAACUCCGUG
rnacentral:rRNA from 1 species